UGCUUAGUGGCAGACGGGUGAGUAACGCGUGAGUAACCUGCCCUUAAGAGGGGGAUAACACAUCGAAAGGUGUGCUAAUACCGCAUAAUAUGUAUUUGCCGCAUGACAGAUACAUCAAAGAUUUAUUGCUUAAGGAUGGACUCGCGUCUGAUUAGAUAGUUGGCGGGGUAACGGCCCACCAAGUCGACGAUCAGUAGCCGGACUGAGAGGUUGAACGGCCACAUUGGGACUGAGACACGGCCCAGACUCC
rnacentral:rRNA from 1 species